rnacentral:rRNA from 1 species
AGAGUUUGAUCAUGGCUCAGAUUGAACGCUGGCGGCAGGCCUAACACAUGCAAGUCGAACGGUAACAGGAAGCAGCUUGCUGCUUUGCUGACGAGUGGCGGACGGGUGAGUAAUGUCUGGGAAACUGCCCGAUGGAGGGGGAUAACUACUGGAAACGGUAGCUAAUACCGCAUAACGUCGCAAGACCAAAGAGGGGGACCUUAGGGCCUCUUGCCAUCGGAUGUGCCCAGAUGGGAUUAGCUAGUAGGUGGGGUAAAGGCUCACCUAGGCGACGAUCCCUAGCUGGUCUGAGAGGAUGACCAGCCACACUGGAACUGAGACACGGUCCAGACUCCUACGGGAGGCAGCAGUGGGGAAUAUUGCACAAUGGGCGCAAGCCUGAUGCAGCCAUGCCGCGUGUAUGAAGAAGGCCUUCGGGUUGUAAAGUACUUUCAGCGGGGAGGAAGGGAGUAAAGUUAAUACCUUUGCUCAUUGACGUUACCCGCAGAAGAAGCACCGGCUAACUCCGUGCCAGCAGCCGCGGUAAUACGGAGGAUCCGAGCGUUAUCCGGAUUUAUUGGGUUUAAAGGGAGCGUAGGCGGACGCUUAAGUCAGUUGUGAAAGUUUGCGGCUCAACCGUAAAAUUGCAGUUGAUACUGGGUGUCUUGAGUACAGUAGAGGCAGGCGGAAUUCGUGGUGUAGCGGUGAAAUGCUUAGAUAUCACGAAGAACUCCGAUUGCGAAGGCAGCUUGCUGGACUGUAACUGACGCUGAUGCUCGAAAGUGUGGGUAUCAAACAGGAUUAGAUACCCUGGUAGUCCACACAGUAAACGAUGAAUACUCGCUGUUUGCGAUAUACAGUAAGCGGCCAAGCGAAAGCGUUAAGUAUUCCACCUGGGGAGUACGCCGGCAACGGUGAAACUCAAAGGAAUUGACGGGGGCCCGCACAAGCGGAGGAACAUGUGGUUUAAUUCGAUGAUACGCGAGGAACCUUACCCGGGCUUGAAUUGCAACUGAAUGAUGUGGAGACAUGUCAGCCGCAAGGCAGUUGUGAAGGUGCUGCAUGGUUGUCGUCAGCUCGUGCCGUGAGGUGUCGGCUUAAGUGCCAUAACGAGCGCAACCCUUGUUGUCAGUUACUAACAGGUUCCGCUGAGGACUCUGACAAGACUGCCAUCGUAAGAUGUGAGGAAGGUGGGGAUGACGUCAAAUCAGCACGGCCCUUACGUCCGGGGCUACACACGUGUUACAAUGGGGGGUACAGAAGGCAGCUACACGGCGACGUGAUGCUAAUCCCGAAAGCCUCUCUCAGUUCGGAUUGGAGUCUGCAACCCGACUCCAUGAAGCUGGAUUCGCUAGUAAUCGCGCAUCAGCCACGGCGCGGUGAAUACGUUCCCGGGCCUUGUACACACCGCCCGUCAAGCCAUGGGAGCCGGGGGUACCUGAAGUGCGUAACCGCAAGGAGCGCCCUAGGGUAAAACUGGUGAUUGGGGCUAAGUCGUAACAAGGUAGCCGUACCGGAAGGUGCGGCUG